rnacentral:misc_RNA from 1 species
AACUAACGCUAUAUAAGUAUCAGUUUCUGUACUUUAUUGGUAUGAGAAGCUUCCGGAAUCCUCUUCCGGCGAAAUUUUGAAGUAGGGCUCAGCCCUACAA